rnacentral:rRNA from 1 species
CCUACGGGAGGCAGCAGCAAGGAAUCUUCCGCAAUGGGCGAAAGCCUGACGGAGCAACGCCGCGUGCGGGAUGACGCCCUUCGGGGUGUAAACCGCUUUUCUUCCGGAAGAACGUGGCGCGAGCCACCUGACGGUACGGGAGGAAGAAGGACCGGCUAACUACGUGCCAGCAGCCGCGGUAAUACGUAGGGUCCGAGCGUUGUCCGGAGUUACUGGGCGUAAAGCGCGCGCAGGCGGCGGUGUAAGCAUGGCGUGAAAGCCCCAGGCUCAACCUGGGAGGGUCGUCGUGGACUGCACCGCUUGAGGGCGGUAGGGGCUGGUGGAAUGCCUGGUGUAGUGGUGAAAUGCGUAGAGAUCAGGCGGAACACCCGUGGCGAAGGCGGCCAGCUGGGCCGUCCCUGACGCUGAGGCGCGAAGGCGUGGGGAGCGAACGGGAUUAGAAACCCUGGUAGUCC